UCUAAUAAAAAAAAUACAUAAGACAGCAUUUAGCGUAUCUACGUAUCAUUAUGGUUAUUUUACAUAUUAAUUGUUAGUUCAGUUGAUAAAAAUAAUAUUUCUUAUACCAACAUAUUUUUUACUUUUCAAACAAUUUGAAAAGGUGUUAUUUAUUUAUUUUUUUUACACUUUGCUAUGGCUAGAGACAAGGGUUCACCAAAUCAACAUAGGAUUGUUUAUUUAUUUAUUUAUUGUGUUUUUGAGUAUUGAUUGAUGUUGAUAUAAUUGUACAUGUAUAGGAAUCAAUUAACUGUUUUAAUUUUAGCUUCCUGGUGACCAAUCGUUCCUAGAGAAAGUGGCAAAAGGUUUGGUGAUUGGUACCCGAGACUCAAGUUCGAACCCAAGUUAAUUCGCAUUUCCUGCUAAAUUUAUUUUGAAAUAAAAUAAAUAAAUCGAAUAGUGUGUUACUUGUCUCUCUCAAUUUUAGCUUCUU
rnacentral:lncRNA from 1 species